rnacentral:rRNA from 1 species
CUACGGGUCGCUGCAGUGAGGAGUUUUGCGCAAUGGGGGAAACCCUGACGCAGCAACGCCGCGUGAGCGAAGAAGGCCUUCGGGUCGUAAAGCUCUGUCAAGUGGGAAAAAAAUUCUUUGAUGAACAGUCAAAGGACUUGAUGGUACCACUGGAGGAAGCACCGGCGAACUCCGUGCCAGCAGCCGCGGUAAUACGGAGGGUGCAAGCGUUGUUCGGAAUUACUGGGCGUAAAGAGCGUGUAGGCGGUUUGACAAGUCAGAUGUGAAAGCCCCGGGCUCAACCCGGGAAGUGCAUUUGAAACUGUUUCACUAGAGUAUGGGAGGGGAGAUUGGAAUUCCUGGUGUAGAGGUGAAAUUCGUAGAUAUCAGGAGGAACACCCGUGGCGAAGGCGAUUCUCUGGACCAAUACUGACGCUGAGACGCGAAAGCGUGGGGAGCAAACAGGAUUAAUACCCGGGUAGUC